CGGCCGCGUCGACCAACUCGGAGGAAGGUGAGGACGACGUCAAAUCAUCAUGCCCCUUAUGUCUUGGGCUUCACGCAUGCUACAAUGGCCGGUACAAUGGGUUGCGAUACUGUGAGGUGGAGCUAAUCCCAUAAAACCGAUCGUAGUCCGGAUCGCAGUCUGCAACUCGACUGCGUGAAGUCGGAAUCGCUAGUAAUCGUGAAUCAGAAUGUCACGGUGAAUACGUUCCCGGGCCUUGUACACACCGCCGUCGACGCGGCCG
rnacentral:rRNA from 1 species